CCAACAGGGAUUGCCUCAGUAGCGGCGAGUGAAGCGGCAAGAGCUCAGAUUUGAAAUCGUGCUUUGCGGCACGAGUUGUAGAUUGCAGGUUGGAGUUCUGUGUGGAAGGCGGUGUCCAAGUCCCUUGGAACAGGGCGCCCAGGAGGGUGAGAGCCCCGUGGGAUGCCGGCGGAAGCAGUGAGGCCCUUCUGACGAGUCGAGUUGUUUGGGAAUGCAGCUCCAAGCGGGUGGUAAAUUCCAUCUAAGGCUAAAUACUGGCGAGAGACCGAUAGCGAACAAGUACUGUGAAGGAAAGAUGAAAAGCACUUUGAAAAGAGAGUGAAACAGCACGUGAAAUUGUUGAAAGGGAAGGGUAUUGCGCCCGACAUGGGGAUUGCGCACCGCUGCCUCUCGUGGGCGGCGCUCUGGGCUUUCCCUGGGCCAGCAUCGGUUCUUGCUGCAGGAGAAGGGGUUCUGGAACGUGGCUCUUCGGAGUGUUAUAGCCAGGGCCAGAUGCUGCGUGCGGGGACCGAGGACUGCGGCCGUGUAGGUCACGGAUGCUGGCAGAACGGCG
rnacentral:rRNA from 1 species